rnacentral:rRNA from 1 species
UCACCUCCCUCUCGACUUACACAUGCAAGUUUCAGCACACCCGUGAGAACGCCCUUCUACCCUUUUUAGGACAAGGAGCUGGUAUCAGGCACAGACUUCUAGCCCAUAACACCUAGCUUUGCCACGCCCUCAAGGGUCUUCAGCAGUGAUUAACAUUGUUCAUGAGCGCCAGCUUGAAUCAGUCAGAGAAACAAGAGCCGGCCAAUACGGUGCCAGCCGCCGCGGCUACACCGCUAGGCUCAAGUUGAUAUUAUUCGGCGUUAAGCGUGUUUAAAGUGCCAAACAGAUUAGAAUUAAACCUUAACCAAGCCGUGAUACGCUUGUUUCUAAGAAAACCACAAUCGAAAGUUAUUCUAACCUAACCACUUGAACCCACGACAGCUAGGGAACAAACUGGGAUUAGGUACCCCACUAUGCCUAGCCGUAAAACAUUUACUUACACUCUUAACCGCCCGGGAAUUACGAGCCCAAGCUUAAAACCCAAAGGACUUGACGGUGUCCCACCCACCUAGAGGAGCCUGUUCAGCAAUGGGCUACAAUUUCUACCAUAGAACAUAACGAAAGACUACAUGCAACUUAGUCAUGAAGGCGGAUUUAGCAGUAAAAAGAAAGUAGAGAGUUCUUUUUAAUUAGGCGCUGGGACGCGUACACACCGCCCGUCACCCUCUUCAAACGCUUUUAACUAUGUUUAUAACACUUUUAUGCAUCACAGAAGAGGUAAGUCGUAACAUGGUAAGUGUACUGGAAAGUGCACUUGGAUUAACAAAAUGUAGCUUAACUAAAGCAUCUCGCUUACACCGAGAACAUGUCCGUGAAACUCAGAUCAUUUUGAGCUGAAAACCUAGCUUACUUUAUUGUUAUGAAUAUACCACCUUAACACAUACUAAAUAAAACAUUUUGUACAUUAAGUAAAGGCGAUUAAAAAAUGU